AACUAGGUCAAACCUGCUCUUCUGGUGAAUGUGUAACAAAUGCAGAAUGCGACGAGACAUGUAAGUGCUCGGAUGGAUACAUUGACACUAACGGACUUUGUGCUGUUCCGUCUUCUACAAUCACAGCCAAGCUGUCAACCAGUGUAACUGUAAUGUCGAUUCUAAGUAUUGCAGUUCGUAAUAUUCUCUGAGAAUGCAUCUUUAGCCAGACGUAAUUAUUAACCAGAGAAAACUCAAUUCUGACGUUCUAUUUUCAAAUAAUCAUACAUUGACAUGAAAUUCUACUUAAUCGGAUUUUACACACGUGUAAAUGUACGUUAAUUUGUUUGAAGUCCAUAUAUAUUUUCUUAAGAGUUUUGAUUUAAUGACUGUAGGUAUUUGUUCUCUUAAUAUUGAAAUAGAUCUACGUUUCCUCCGACAGUAUUAAGCGAAACUGUCUUACAGAAAUAUUUAUGAUGUAAA